rnacentral:tRNA from 1 species
CCUGGUGGCUCAGAUGGUAAAGCAUCUGCCUACAAUGCAGGAAACCUGGGUUCAAUCCCUGGGUCAGGA